ensembl:snoRNA
CCUACCCCCAGAAACACUGCAGGUGCGGCUGCUGUGUUGCAUGUGCAUCAGCAGAUGGCAGAGGAGAGAGAGACUAUGUCUAGGCUCAGUGCUCUGACCUGUGACCAUCUGAAUGAUUAGUAGCCCAACAUU